rnacentral:rRNA from 1 species
CCCGCACAAGCAGCGGAGCGUGUGGUUUAAUUCGAUGCAACACGAAAACCUUACCAAGGUUUGACAUGUCGGAAGUAGUGAACCGAAAGGGGAACGACCUGUUGAGUCAGGAGCCGUCACAGGUGCUGCAUGGCUGUCGUCAGCUCGUGCCGUGAGGUGUAUGGUUAAGUCCUGCAACGAGCGCAACCCUCGUCGCUAGUUGAUUUCUCUAGCGAGACUGCCCCGCAAAACGGGGAGGAAGGUGGGGAUGACGUCAAAUCAUCAUGCCCCUUAUGAUCCGGGCUACACACGUGCUACAAUGGGCUGUACAGAGGGAAGCGAAGGAGCGAUCCCAGGCCAAUCCCAAAAAGCAGCUCUCAGUUCGGAUUGCAGGCUGCAACUCGCCUGCAUGAAGUUGGAAUCGCUAGUAAUCGCGGAUCAGCAUGCCGCGGUCGAAUACGUUCCCGGGCCUU